rnacentral:rRNA from 1 species
GACGAACGCUGGCGGCGUGCUUAACACAUGCAAGUCGAACGGUGAAGCGCCUUCCUUUUGGUGGGUGUGGAUGAGUGGCGAACGGGUGAGUAACACGUGAGUAACCUGCCCCCUUCUUCUGGAUAACCGCAUGAAAGUGUGGCUAAUACGGGAUAUUCUGCGCCUGCUGCAUGGUGGGUGUGGGAAAGAUAUUGUUUCGGUGGGGGAUGGGCUCGCGGCCUAUCAGCUUGUUGGUGGGGUGAUGGCCUACCAAGGCGGUGACGGGUAGCCGGCCUGAGAGGGUGGACGGUCACACUGGGACUGAGACACGGCCCAGACUCCUACGGGAGGCAGCAGUGGGGAAUAUUGCACAAUGGGCGCAAGCCUGAUGCAGCGACGCCGCGUGAGGGAUGGAGGCCUUCGGGUUGUAAACCUCUUUCGCCAGUGAAGCAGGCCUGCUCCUUGUGGGUGG